rfam:TPA: Bos taurus chromosome 19, whole genome shotgun sequence.
UCCUUGGUGGUCCAACUGUUAGGACUCUGCACUUACACUGCUGAGGGCCUGGGUUCAAUCCCUUGUCAGGGAA